GCCUGUGUGGUAUAGUGGUGAGAGCUUUGGACCACAACUCUCUAGACCAGGGUUCAAAUCCCUGCUCUGCCA